CAGCACCCGCAGACUCCGCCGACGCUCGCAGAGAUCAGAGCUGCGGACCCGUUUUGGGGACAAGGUUUAAUGAAAUGCAUGGCUAGUCAUGGACUUCACUACUUGCUGGGAUUUAGAAGAGAUGAAGAAAACACAGUUUUAACUCACAUAGAACUACUGAGCUGAUCACCGUAAUUAUUAAGGAGUUGGCUUUGCUAUUUUGCUCCUAUACAAGUGGCAACCUCCCCCUACCGCAGCACCCCAGGCCAACCCCUCUCCAGUCUGUCCUCUCUCCCUGCGCACUGUCUAUUCAAUCCUUGCUGCUCAAGAACCCACAGCACCGGCACCUGGGAUCUUGCUACAUAUGUGGAAUCUCACGUUGUCCCCAGAAGCGUUGUACUAACUGUCACAGCCAGCGUGGCCAUUUCUGCCUUCUAUGCCAUGCUUCUUGGUCAGUGGCUGGAAAAGUCUUCACAAUGUUUUGUUCCAAAAUUCCACUAACAUAUACGCGUCAUCUUACCCUUGACUGCAUGUACUACUGAUUUUUUUUUAAGGUGCAUAAAGUUAAAUUCAGGGACAAUCCAUGUGGGCGAGGUACUCCAUAAUGUACAAGAAUAGAGUAUUUCAUUUCACUGUCCUUCUAAGAGAAGAUAAAGAUUUAAAUCUUUGUCUCAUGAUAAAAAUGGCACAGAGGAAAGGAAGGAGCAUGAGCAGAAGCAAAAGAAAGCCCAGGACUGGAGCUGAGAUGGCAGAGGAUGAAGUUGGAAUGGCCAUAUUGGGUUGCAUGGAAAUGAAUUAGAAAGUAACAAGCCAAUACUCAUGGCUGGAAAGCUCAAGUAGGGUAGGGGUGGUUAAUAAAACUGUGGACAUUUGAACAGAGAACUAGUGUAACUAAAAUGAAUGUUGCAAUUGUUUGAAAAAGUCAAGCUGUUUUAGAACAUUUCUUAGUCUCAGCUUUCCAGUCUGUAACAUAGAGGCCAAUAUCUAGGGUUCUAUUGGUUGUAAGGAAUAAAAAGAAACAGAAGGCCCUCAGGCCAAAGUUAGCACAGGAGAAGCACUUAAAUGGCAACAGAAGUAACCAGUUAUCCUGGUGGGAGGUUGAGAGAUUAAAAGCCCAGGAGACAUGUAAAAAGCUCCUCCAAUAGAAGUUCCAACAGUAAAGUUGAUCAAGUGCUGCUCACUGUGUGCUGGUACUCUUCUGAAAGUGCUCUUCAGAAAGCAGUAGAUGCAUCCUCAAACAGCCCAGUAAGGCACGUAUGGUCAUCCCGAUUUGGGAGAUGGGAGACCGAGGAAUAGAGUGCAUCCAUUUCGGCAUAAGUUGCUAAAGACCAAAUUCAAAACCUCAGCAUGACUUCAGUUCCCACACUCCCAUCUCCAGGCUCUUCCUCUAUAGGUGUUCCACUGAAGACAAGGAAGGGGUGUGUGGUGGAUAAAAGUAGGGGAGGAGCAAGACCCCCAUCUGUGAGAAAGAGACAAUGACGGGUGAGCACACUGUCCUGGGUGAACGUAGAAUGCCCAGAAUAACUCCGCUGGUGAGCCGAGCUGGGAGGAAA